rnacentral:rRNA from 1 species
GACGAACGCUGGCGGCGUGCUUAACACAUGCAAGUCGAACGGAAAGGCCCUGCUCUUGUGGGGUGCUCGAGUGGCGAACGGGUGAGUAACACGUGAGUAACCUGCCCUUGACUUUGGGAUAACUUCAGGAAACUGGGGCUAAUACCGGAUAUGAGCUCCUGCUGCAUGGUGGGGGUUGGAAAGUUUCGGCGGUUGGGGAUGGACUCGCGGCUUAUCAGCCUGUUGGUGGGGUAGUGGCUUACCAAGGCUUUGACGGGUAGCCCGCCUGAGAGGGGGACCGGCCACAUGGGGACUGAGGUACGGCCCAGACUCCUACGGGAAGCAGCAGUGGGGAAUAUUGCACAAUAAGCGGAAGCCAGAGGCAGCAGCGCCGCGUGCGGGAUGACGGCCUUCGGGUUGUAAACCGAUUUCGCCUGAAACAAGGCGUGAGUGACGGUAAUGGGUAAAGAAGCAACGGCUAACUACGUG